GCGAACGUGGCGGAAUUGGUAGACGCGCUAGAUUUAGGUUCUAGUGAGAUUCCUUGUGAGAGUUCAAGUCUCUCCGUUCGUA
rnacentral:tRNA from 2 species